UGCGCAGGCGGCUCCUUAAGUCAGAUGUGAAAUCCCCGGGCUUAACCUGGGAACUGCGUUUGAAACUGGGGAGCUAGAGUGUGGAAGAGGGGGGUGGAAUUCCAGGUGUAGCAGUGAAAUGCGUAGAGAUCUGGAGGAACACCGAUGGCGAAGGCAGCCCCCUGGGCUAACACUGACGCUCAUGCACGAAAGCGUGGGGAGCAAACAGGAUUAGAUACCCUGGUAGUCCACGCCCUAAACGAUGUCAACUGGUUGUCGGGGAAGCAAUUCCUUGGUAACGAAGCUAACGCGUGAAGUUGACCGCCUGGGGAGUACGGCCGCAAGGUUAAA
rnacentral:rRNA from 1 species